rnacentral:misc_RNA from 1 species
UCUCCGUUGGUGAACCAGCGGAGGGAUCAUUAUAGAGAGUGAAAGCUCCCUAAACCCAUUGUAAAUUUACCUGUUCGUUGCUUCGGCAGGCGGCCCCAGGGCGGGGCUGUAGCCUGUAAAGGCGCCUGCCGGAGGUACCAAACUCUGUUAUAAUUGUUGUCCGAGUCCACUAUAAAAACAAAUCAAAACUUUCAACAACGGAUCUCUUGGUUUGGGCAUCGAUGAAGAACGCAGC